CAUGCUGGUUAGCCUGACUUCUAGGAAGGGCUGUAUUUAUUAGAUAACAAAUCAAUAUUCCUUGUGUCUAUUGUGACGACUCAUAAUAACUGAUCGAAUCGCAUGGGCUUUGCCCGCGAUACAUCAUUCAAGUUUCUGCCCCAUCAGCUUUCGAUGGUAGUGUAUUGGACUACCAUGGCUUUCACGGGUAACGGAGGAUUAGGGUUCGAUUCCGGAGAGGGAGCCUGAGAAACGGCUACCACAUCUAAGGAAGGCAGCAGGCGCGUAAAUUACCCAAUCCUGACUCAGGGAGGUAGUGACAAGAAAUAACGGACCGAGGCUAUGCUUCGGGAUUGCAAUGAGUAGAAUUUAAACCCCUUUACGAGGAUCAAUUGGAGGGCAAGUCUGGUGCCAGCAGCCGCGGUAAUUCCAGCUCCAAUAGCGUAUAUUAAAGUUGUUGCAGUUAAAAAGCUCGUAGUUGGAUUUCUGGGAGGGUGCCAAUGUCCGCAUGUUGCGUGUGCAGAGGCGCCCUUCCAUCCUUCUGUUAACGUUUCUGGUAUUCAGUUACUGGACUCGGGCUCAGAUACUUUACCUUGAGAAAAUUAGAGUGUUCCAGGCAGGCUAGCGCCGGAAUACAUUAGCAUGGAAUAAUAGAAUAGGACUUUAGUCUCCUUUGUUGGUUUGAGGGACUGAAGUAAUGAUUAAUAGGGAUAGUUGGGGGCAUUAGUAUUUAAUUGUCAGAGGUGAAAUUCUCGGAUUUGUUAAAGACUAACUUAUGCGAAAGCAUUUGCCAAGGAUGUUUUCAUUAAUCAAGAACGAAAGUUAGGGGAUCAAAGACGAUCAGAUACCGUCGUAGUCUUAACCAUAAACUAUGCCGACUAGGGAUCGGAGGCGCGUUUUAUCCGCCUUCGGAACCUUAUGAGAAAUCAAAGUCUUUGGGUUCUGGGGGGAGUAUGGUCGCAAGGCUGAAACUUAAAGGAAUUGACGGAAGGGCACCACCAGGAGUGGAGCUUGCGGCUCAAUUUGACUCAACACGGGAAAACUUACCAGGUCCAGACAUAGUGAGGAU
rnacentral:rRNA from 1 species